GAUGAACGCUGACAGAAUGCUUAACACAUGCAAGUCGAUGGGGAAGUGUUGCUUGCACCAUGGUAACCAUGGCGGACGGGUGAGUAACACGUAAGGAACUUACCUGCGGGACCGGGAUAACAUCAGGAAACUGCUGACAAGACCGGAUAAGGUCAUUAAGCUGCAUAGCUUAGUGAUGAAAGGAGACGCCUGCGGAGAGCCUUGCGUCCUAUUAGCUAGUUGGAGGGGUAACGGCCCACCAAGGCGAAGAUAGGUAGCCGGCCUGAGAGGGUGGACGGCCACAAGGGGACUGAGAUACGGCCCUUACUCCUACGGGAGGCAGCAGUGGGGAAUAUUGGACAAUGGGGGCAACCCUGAUCAAGCAAUUCUGUGUGCACGAAGACGGUUUUCGGAUUGUAAAGUGCUUUCAGCAGGGAAGAAGGAAGUGACGGUACCUGCAGAAGAAGCGACGGCUAAAUACGUG
rnacentral:rRNA from 1 species